AUUCCAGCUCCAAUAGCGUAUAUUUAAGUUGCUGCAGUUAAAAAGCUCGUAGUUGGAUUUCGGGCGGUUGACGACGGUCCGCCUCUGGUGUGCACUGCCGUUCAUCCGCCUUUCUGUCGGGGACGUGCUCCUAGGCUUCAUUGUCUGGGACACGGGUUCGACGUGGUUACUUUGAGUAAAUUAGAGUGUUCAAAGCAGGCAUCGCCUUGAAUAUAUUAGCAUGGAAUAGCACGAUAGGACUCUGGCCUAUUUUGCUGGUCUGUAGGACCGGAGUAAUGAUUAAGAGGGACAGUCGGGGGCAUUCGUAUUUCAUUGUCAGAGGUGAAAUUCUUGGAUUUAUGAAAGACGAACUUCUGCGAAAGCAUUUGCCAAGGAUGUUUUCAUCG
rnacentral:rRNA from 1 species